rnacentral:tRNA from 1 species
AAAGAUUUAGUUAAAUUAUAACAUUAGAAUGUCAAACUAAAAUUAUUUUAAAAUAAAUAAUCUUUA